rnacentral:rRNA from 1 species
GACGAACGCUGGCGGCGUGCUUAACACAUGCAAGUCGAACGGUGACCCGGAGCUUGCUCCGGUGAUCAGUGGCGAACGGGUGAGUAACACGUGGGCAACCUGCCCCUGACUCCGGGAUAACUGCUCGAAAGAGCAGCUAAUACCAGAUACGACCACUUCGGGCAUCCGAUGGUGGUGGAAAGUUUUUCGGUCAGGGAUGGGCCCGCGGCCUAUCAGCUUGAUGGUGGGGUAGUGGCCUACCAUGGCGACGACGGGUAGCCGGCCUGAGAGGGCGACCGGCCACACUGGGACUGAGACACGGCCCAGACUCCUACGGGAGGCAGCAGUGGGGAAUAUUGCGCAAUGGGCGAAAGCCUGACGCAGCGACGCCGCGUGAGGGAUGACGGCCUCGGUGUAACCUCUUCAGCAGGAAGAAAUUAGACGGUACCUGCAGAAGAAGACACCGGCGUAACUACGUGCCAGCAG